GAGGAAUUGAAAUCCUUAAAUGUCAAAGUUGAAAAGGCCAAGACACUGAGAAUCUGCAGAAGAAACUUGAAGAAAGUUGUGGAGAUCUGCAGGCUGAGCUCUCAAAGAAAAGAUAAACAAAUGAAAGCAGUGAGUCAAAGCUGUCCAACCUGAAGAUAAAAUUAGAGAGUAAAACUAAAGUCCAGGACGAAUACAAAAAGAGAACAAAACGUUGAAGAAACAAAUUGCAGUUGAGACAGCAAAAUCCAGUGAACUUGAAAAUGAGAUAAACAAAUUGAAAGAGGAGUCAGAAAAUGUUCAACGAUCAAAUGAAGAGGAAUGUAAAAAUUUGCUUGAUGACCUUGAAACCAAAUCAACAUCUGAGACAGAGCUUCAGAAAAAGGUGCUUAUUGGAAGUUAAUAAUAUGGUACAUUCUGGUAGAUGUGGCAACAUACUUGCUGCACAUGUUGAUCCCUGCAGGUGCAAAAGCUACAUCUUACAGCAACAYAUGCCGUCAAGAGUAAGGAAGAUACUGAAAUCAAAUGUCAGAACAAGAUAGCAGACAUGGUUGCCUUGAUGGAAAAGCACAAGAACCAGUAUGACAAAAUGGUUGACGAGAAAGAUGCAGAGCUUGAUGAGAAGAAGAGGAAAGACAUGGAGGCAACUGCUAAUAGAACAUCACUGGAAUUGGCGCUGUCACAGCAGAACAUUGAGAAUGACCGUUUGAAGGAACAACUAAAGAAAGAAAUGAACGAGAGGGAAAGCUUACUACAAGAGAUUACAGACCUGAAAAAAGAAAAGAAAAUGAGCAGGCAACUGAAGACACAGGAUGAACAGCUGCCUGAGCCAAAGUCCAAAGAAGUUAAGUGUUCUGAAAUCCCCAAAGUAUACUCCUCCGCCAAGAUGCCUAUGUUCCGUUUGGCAAAGGACAGUCAGAGAAAGACAAAAAAAGCCUCUGUAACCCCAUCCCAAACCUCAGAGAAAAUAGUUGUUGUGACUCCAAACAUUAAUGAAAUGGAAAACGAAGCCCAAAAACUCCAUCUUGGAGCCUCAUGACUAGAGUUGCAGCAACACCACGAAUGAAGGAAACCGAAGCUCUCAGAACUCCAUCUUGGAGCUCCACCAAUAUAGUUAGUGCAACACCACGGAUUAAGUCUUACAGAAUCAGAACUCCUCCGUCCACUGGGAAAUCUGUGCCCUGGGGGAAGAGCACCUUGGAGCUUGACCCCAAGUCCGACAGCUCGGAACAUAAUGAUUUAUUGAGCAUUGCCGUUGCAACUGAUCCAUUCAAGAGCCGCCUGCAGCCAAGUGUCCCAGCAGCACAGAAUCAAAAAGUGGACAUAUUCAGGAAGGUAGAAUGAGCAGCCUUACAUUAACACCAAAAUACUUGACUUACUUGGCAGUACACGCUCUGUAUUAUGAAAUAAGUUGUGAAAUACCAUAUUGCAUUGUAUGGUAUAGUCUAUACUCUGCAACUUCUAAAAUAUAGUCUGUAACUUAAAAGUAGUUAAUGCUGUAAUGUCCAGGUCAGUAUUAGUCUGUAAUGUUUCAGAUCCAGAGCCCUGCCAUUCAGAAAUCACCUGGGAG